rnacentral:rRNA from 1 species
AGAGUUUGAUCCUGGCUCAGAACGAACGCUGGCGGCAGGCCUAACACAUGCAAGUCGAGCGCGCCUCUUCGGAGGCGAGCGGCGCACGGGUGAGUAACGCGUGGGAACCUACCCUGGGGUAGGGGAUAACCGCUGGAAACGGCGGCUAAUACCCUAUACGUCCUUCGGGAGAAAGAUUUAUUGCCCUGGGAUGGGCCCGCGUUGGAUUAGCUUGUUGGUGGGGUAAAAGCCUACCAAGGCGACGAUCCAUAGCUGGUCUGAGAGGAUGAUCAGCCACACUGGGACUGAGACACGGCCCAGACUCCUACGGGAGGCAGCAGUGGGGAAUAUUGGACAAUGGGCGCAAGCCUGAUCCAGCCAUGCCGCGUGAGUGAAGAAGGCCUUAGGGUUGUAAAGCUCUUUCACCCGCGAAGAUGAUGACGGUAGCGGGAGAAGAAGCCCCGGCUAACUCCGUGCCAGCAGCCGCGGUAAUACGGAGGGGGCAAGCGUUGUUCGGAUUUACUGGGCGUAAAGGGCGCGUAGGUGGAUGUUCAUGUCAGAGGUGAAAGCCCCGGGCUCAACCUGGGAAUUGCCUUUGAAACGGGGCAUCUGGAGUUCGGAAGAGGGUAGCGGAAUUCCCAGUGUAGAGGUGAAAUUCGUAGAUAUUGGGAAGAACACCAGUGGCGAAGGCGGCUACCUGGUCCGACACUGACACUGAGGC